CCCGGAUGUUAGCGGCGGACGGGUGAGUAACACGUGGGUAACCUGCCUGUAAGACUGGGAUAACUCCGGGAAACCGGAGCUAAUACCGGAUAGUUCCUUGAACCGCAUGGUUCAAGGAUGAAAGACGGUUUCGGCUGUCACUUACAGAUGGACCCGCGGCGCAUUAGCUAGUUGGUGGGGUAAUGGCUCACCAAGGCGACGAUGCGUAGCCGACCUGAGAGGGUGAUCGGCCACACUGGGACUGAGACACGGCCCAGACUCCUACGGGAGGCAGCAGUAGGGAAUCUUCCGCAAUGGACGAAAGUCUGACGGAGCAACGCCGCGUGAGUGAUGAAGGUUUUCGGAUCGUAAAGCUCUGUUGUUAGGGAAGAACAAGUGCGAGAGUAACUGCUCGCACCUUGACGGUACCUAACCAGAAAGCCACGGCUAACUACGUGCCAGCAGCCGCGGUAAUACGUAGGUGGCAAGCGUUGUCCGGAAUUAUUGGGCGUAAAGGGCUCGCAGGCGGUUUCUUAAGUCUGAUGUGAAAGCCCCCGGCUCAACCGGGGAGGGUCAUUGGAAACUGGGAAACUUGAGUGCAGAAGAGGAGAGUGGAAUUCCACGUGUAGCGGUGAAAUGCGUAGAGAUGUGGAGGAACACCAGUGGCGAAGGCGACUCUCUGGUCUGUAACUGACGCUGAGGAGCGAAAGCGUGGGGAGCGAACAGGAUUAGAUACCCUGGUAGUCCACGCCGUAAACGAUGAGUGCUAAUGUUUAGGGGGUUUCCGCCCCUUAGUGCUGCAGCUAACGCAUUAAGCACUCCGCCUGGGGGAGUACGGUCGCAAGACUGAAACUCAAAGGAAUUGACGGGGGCCCGCACAAGCGGUGGAGCAUGUGGUUUAAUUCGAAGCAACGCGAAGAACCUUACCAGGUCUUGACAUCCUCUGACAACCCUAGAGAUAGGGCUUUCCCUUCGGGGACAGAGUGACAGGUGGUGCAUGGUUGUCGUCAGCUCCUGUCGUGAGAUGUUGGGGUUAAGUCCCGCAACGAGCGCAACCCUUGAUCUUAGUUGCCAGCAUUCAGUUGGGCACUCUAAGGGGACUGCCGGUGACAACCCGCAGA
rnacentral:rRNA from 1 species